UCAAGCUUCCGGGCCCUCCUCUUCCUAAAGACUGAUGCUGUAGUCCUAUUAAAAGGAUCUAGCUUAUCCGAGUCCUCACAGGAAAGAACUACCUGCCACCAAGGACAACCAGCUCUGGGAAUAAGAAAGACCCCCGCUGUUAGCCCUCAAACCAUCUCCUCAUGCUGUGGUCUCCUUUAAGGAUACAUCUCUGGACCUUAUCCUCAUUCAUAACUCCACGUAAUCGUGCAGGCACAAUGUAAAUAAAUGCACACAUGUGUGUAAAUACACACCGAGGAUGAGGAUUCGAGCACAUGUAUAUGG
rnacentral:lncRNA from 1 species